GUGGCCCUUCGCUGGCGGACCAUAGAGACGAAGCGGAGGGACCCGGCCGCGGGCGGCCCCCUGGCGUUGCCCUCCUCCGCUCUCCGUCUCCGGCCGGACCCCCGAGAAGCAUCCGCCCCGCGCGCCCCUGCCCCGCCCGGCGGCCCGUCCUCCGCUUCCCGCGCGCGUUCUUCCCCCGGUGGAGCGGAAGGCUCCGUCGGCUGGAUUCCCGCGGCGGCGGGCCGGCGGAAGAGCUUGGGGCUGCAAAGCUCAUCGCCCGCGGCGGCUGGUUCGGGAAGCCUCGGGCCGGGCUGGGACUGCUGGCCGCGCUGCCGGCGAGUCCCGCGUCUCCCGCAGAGGCUGCCGCGCUCUCGCCUCUUGCUCGGGCUCUGCGCUCUGCCGCGGCGCGGGCAGCCUCUGGGCAGGCUCGUUCUGGGGCUCGGCCGCUGCUGGCGAAACCUGGCUAUAAUCCUGCGUUACCUGGCAGGGAUGUUUAACUUCCGGCCGAAUAACUAACGUGCUUAGGAAGGUGCCACCUUCUUCACCCAGCUUUGCAGAAUAACUAGUUGGCAUCCUCAAAAGGAGAAGCUGGCAAGCAAAGCCAAGCAGCAGAGAAGUUUCCAGCAGGCCGUUAAAAGAAGCCAUUAAAGGGCCAAGGGAAAUGGAGCCUUUCGAAGAGGAUUUGGAGGGAGAAUGCGAUCUGCCCAGGACCCAACGUUCAAGGCCUCACGCGGCACAGGGCUUGCGGGAUCUUGGGGGACACCAGCCUUGUCUACCUCACAGGACUGUUGUGAAGCGUCUUCAGGGAAGCGUGACAGGAUAUCAGCCCAGCCGCAGGACCCGAGCCAGCUCAGUGUCCGGACGCUGCGCUCAGAAGCUGCUCAUUAAUAAGUCAGAGGAAGUAGAAGACAGGACGGCUUGCAAAGAUCCCAGAGCAACUUAAGAUCAAAUUUGGCACCCUGCGUAAAGCCUUCAGCUGCAGCAGAGAAAACGGGAGACUUGACAUGGGGGGGGGGGAGAAGAAGGCAACAGCAGGGCCCUCCAUCCAAAGGCUCCCUGGC